rnacentral:rRNA from 1 species
GCUUGCUUCUCUUGAGAGCGGCGGACGGGUGAGUAAUGCCUAGGAAUCUGCCUGGUAGUGGGGGAUAACGUUCGGAAACGGACGCUAAUACCGCAUACGUCCUACGGGAGAAAGCAGGGGACCUUCGGGCCUUGCGCUAUCAGAUGAGCCUAGGUCGGAUUAGCUAGUUGGUGAGGUAAUGGCUCACCAAGGCGACGAUCCGUAACUGGUCUGAGAGGAUGAUCAGUCACACUGGAACUGAGACACGGUCCAGACUCCUACGGGAGGCAGCAGUGGGGAAUAUUGGACAAUGGGCGAAAGCCUGAUCCAGCCAUGCCGCGUGUGUGAAGAAGGUCUUCGGAUUGUAAAGCACUUUAAGUUGGGAGGAAGGGCAUUAACCUAAUACGUUAGUGUUUUGACGUUACCGACAGAAUAAGCACCGGCUAACUCUGUGCCAGCAGCCGCGGUAAUACAGAGGGUGCAAGCGUUAAUCGGAAUUACUGGGCGUAAAGCGCGCGUAGGUGGUUUGUUAAGUUGGAUGUGAAAUCCCCGGGCUCAACCUGGGAACUGCAUUCAAA